UACGGGGGGGGCAAGCGUUGUUCGGAAUUACUGGGCGUAAAGGGCUCGUAGGCGGCCAACUAAGUCGGACGUGAAAUCCCUCGGCUUAACCGGGGAACUGCGUCCGAUACUGGAUGGCUUGAGUUUGGGAGAGGGAUGCGGAAUUCCAGGUGUAGCGGUGAAAUGACGUAGAUAUCUGGAGGAACACCGGUGGCGAAGGCGGCAUCCUGGACCAACACUGACGCUGAGGUGCGAAAGCGAUGGGGGAGCAAACAGGG
rnacentral:rRNA from 1 species